rnacentral:rRNA from 1 species
GACGAACGCUGGCGGCGUGCUUAACACAGGCAAGUCGAACGGAAAGGCCCUGCUUUUGUGGGGUGCUCGAGUGGCGAACGGGUGAGUAACACGUGAGUAACCUGCCCUUGACUGUGGGAUAACUUCAGGAAACUGGGGCUAAUACCGGAUAGGAGCUCCUGCUGCAUGGUGUGGGUUGGAAAGUUUCGGCGGUUGGGGAUGGACUCGCGGCGUAUCAGCUUGUGGGUGGGGUAGUGGCUUACCAAGGCUUUGACGGGUAGCCGGCCUGAGAGGGUGACCGGCCACAUUGGGCCUGAGAUACGCCCCACACUCCUACGGGAGGCAGCAGUGGCGCAUAUUGCCCUAUGGGACGAAGCCUCAUGCAGCACCGCCGCGUGCGGGAUGACGGCCUUCGGGUUGUACACCGCUUUAGCCUGUGACGAAGCGUGAGUGACGGUACUGCGUAACGAAGCACCCGCUAACUACGUG